GCUUCCUUCUGAAGCUCUAGGCCUGCACAUGGCCCUGAGGGGAGGGGGCCUAGGCUGCUACCUCCACAGCCCCCAAAGAUGAGGACUGAGGUCAAAGCGCUGGUGGUGGUGCUGGGACUGGGGCAGGACAUAGUUCACAAAUUUACAACAUGAAUUUGUCACUUACCAACUUAUAUUUUGAGCCUAAAAAGCAGGGAGGAGACACUUCUGCUCAGGGUAACACCCCUCUAGUCUUACCCCAUUAGACUGGGCUAAUCUCGGGCACAAUCUACAGCGAGGGCUGAAGAUGAAAACCAUGAAAAUGGGAACUUUGGGAACUGCCCUUAAUCUGGGGUCCCAUCUUGUAAGAUCGGAAGGGCAC